UACGGGGGGAGCAAGCGUUGUUCGGAUUUACUGGGCGUAAAGGGCGCGUAGGCGGCCACCGCAAGUCGACUGUGAAAUCUCCGGGCUUAACCCGGAAAGGUCAGCCGAUACUGCGGGGCUAGAGUGCAGAAGGGGCAACUGGAAUUCUCGGUGUAGCGGUGAAAUGCGUAGAUAUCAAGCGGAACACCGGUGGCGAAGGCGGCCUUCUGGACAGUGACUGACGCUGGGACGCGAAAGCGUGGGGAGCAAACAGG
rnacentral:rRNA from 1 species